UACAGAGGGUGCAAGCGUUAAUCGGAAUUACUGGGCGUAAAGCGUGCGUAGACGGUCAUGUAAGUCGGGUGUGAAAGCCCCGGGCUCAACCUGGGAAUUGCAUUCGAGACUGCAUGGCUAGGAUGCGGAAGAGGGAAGCGGAAUUUCCGGUGUAGCGGUGAAAUGCGUAGAUAUCGGAAGGAACAUCAGUGGCGAAAGCGGCUUCCUGGUCCAGCAUCGACGUCAGGCACGAAAGCGUGGGGAGCAAACAGGG
rnacentral:rRNA from 1 species